AAAACUUUCAACAACGGAUCUCUUGGUUCUGGCAUCGAUGAAGAACGCAGCGAAAUGCGAUAAGUAGUGUGAAUUGCAGAAUUCAGUGAAUCAUCGAAUCUUUGAACGCACAUUGCGCCCUUUGGUAUUCCGAAGGGCAUGCCUGUUCGAGCGUCAU
rnacentral:rRNA from 5 species